CCUACGGGUGGCAGCAGUGAGGAAUAUUGGUCAAUGGACGAGAGUCUGAACCAGCCAAGUAGCGUGAAGGAUGACUGCCCUAUGGGUUGUAAACUUCUUUUAUAAGGGAAUAAAACGAGGCACGUGUGCCUUUUUGUAUGUACUUUAUGAAUAAGCAUCGGCUAACUCCGUGCCAGCAGCCGCGGUAAUACGGAGGAUCCGAGCGUUAUCCGGAUUUAUUGGGUUUAAAGGGAGCGUAGAUGGGUUGUUAAGUCAGUUGUGAAAGUUUGCGGCUCAACCGUAACAGUGCAAUUGAAACUGGCAGUCUUGAGUACAGGUGAGGUAGGUGGAAUUCGUGGUGUAGCGGUGAAAUGCUUAGAUAUCACGAAGAACCCCGAUUGCGAAGGCAGUUUACCAAACUGUGACUGACAUUGAUGCUCGAAAGUGUGGGUAUCAAACAGGAUUAGAUACCCUAGUAGUC
rnacentral:rRNA from 1 species